UCGAUCUAUUUGCUAGGUCGAUCGUGAAGCUCGCCGCCGCCGCCAUCAUGGAACGCUUCACCGCCGCCAUCGUGGAACGCCUCGCCGCCGCCAACGUGGAGCCCUUCACCGAAGCAGAGGUCCAGGAUGGCCGCCGCCGAGGUCCGAGAUCGCCAUCCCUAUCUGUUUCUUGUUCGCUGGCCUCUCUCACAUUCCCCAUCUCUCUCUCUCUCUCUCUCUCUCUCUCUCGCGCGCGCGCGCGCGCGCGCGCGCGUCAUUGCCACCGCUGCCCACUACCGGCUGCGUCUGCCGCUACCCCCAUGGCGCUACCGACUCCGAUGAGAUCUCCCCUUUCUAACAUAUGCGGCCGCCUCGCUGUUCCUGCCCCACGUGCGGCCCCGCGGCUAACCCUAGCAACCUCUAUCUCCAACGGCGGCGCCUCCCUCGUCCUCUCACAACCCCGUCCUCCUCCCUACGCGUGCUCCACACGUAUCUCCGACGAUGAUAGCGGCCAACAGGCUGUGGGCCUACCAGAGGGCACGGCAGGCGGCAACGCAAGGCAGCGGGGCGCAUGGUUGAUGCUCACGACAAUGGUAUGCGCGAGCAUGCCACAGGCAGCGGCCAGGUGUGUGAGGGCAGUAGCCAGUGAGGGCACGCUGAUGUUCGUCUGGGCCACACGGUGAGUAUUCUUUGUUUAUGUGUUCUGGCUAUUUUGUGAAUUGAUGCAUCGGCCAAAAGGUUGCGCCAUCUCAAGUAUCUGUGGGUCAGUCACAGUACAGUACAAAUACUGGCCAUCUAUUGGGCGGAUCUGGUAGUGAUUUCACCGAUUUCAGGUAAGAAUGCUCUCUCCUCUUUGUAGUUAAUUAAACAGAUCCGUAAGCUGCUUGACUGCUACAACUGGUUGUAUCACCGGCCGGUUACUUCGGGUGAAUAAGGCAGAACGAAUUAUGCCAUGUAUGUUCCAUCUCAUUUUGUUCAAUGCUUGUGCUUUCCGUAAUUGGGAGUCUCCAAGUUUUGAUUGCAUUUAUUAGAAUGAUUGGUACUAUCAGGUUGAUGAACGGAAUGUGAAGCUUAUAUGAAACAGUGGGAUUUUCAGUUUGUAUGCUCGUCCAUUAACUCAAUUUUUGCAGGUUUCAUGAUAUAGUAAUUCUGCAAAUGUGUCGACUUUCUAUUUAGUUUUCCAGUGCCAUUUAAUUGUUAAACUUUCUAGAUCAAAAUCUCAAGAAUACCCAAUAUGAUUCUUUUUUGUUAUUUCUUUCAGCGAGCCACACAGAGAUCUGACAAAGGUCCUAUAGAACUGACCACGAGAGCGGCGGCAAGUGCAGCAGUGCGUACUCAACGGUUGACCGACUACGUGCAAAUCAUGUCCCCAGUGUGAUUGAGAAUGGCGGUAAAUUAUUAGACACAAGCGGUUAAUUUCUACCAAUUAGAACUACACAGUGAAGCCUGGCAAAAUGGCCACAAGUAUUGGUUCAUAACACAUGCGUUUUAGCGGGAUGGAGGUAAUAUUGAGAGAGACAGACCCAUUAGGCUAAGGAAAAGAAAUAGUAUAUCUUUUGAGUCUACCAUCUUGUAUGCCAAGCAGCGUCGAGUAGAUGAUAUACUAGGCGCUUUUCUUCUAAAUUGUACAGAAAGUCCACUGAGUCAUUGUUGUUUGUAUGCCACCGUAGAGCAAAAUAGUACUUCUUUUAAUCAUUUUUAGGUGAAAUACAAGCAUGUAGCUACCUCACUUAAUUAUUGUACUCACUUGAAGUUUUAUGUUGAUACAAUGCAAUAUUUAAGUAGUAGAGAAACCUCACAAAUUUAAAUUGAUGAAUGAUAUUUAGGAAAAGAAGUAUGCAUGUUUCAUUAUAAAGGGAAAGUCUUUUUCAAGGCAUAGUGUUUAAUUCACGAAUGAUUAAACAGUUUAACGGGGACCAACACUGAGUAGCAGGGGAGUGGCAGUGCAUAGAGACAUAGUGAGGAGAGCGGGGGCGAUGAUGGAGGCGGAGAUGUUUAGAGAAAGAUAUAGAGAGCAGGAGGUUUAACAUGGUGCAAUCAAAAACCGAGAGCCACGAAACAUAACAAUACUCUGCAUUGUUUUGAUGUUGGUAUCAGAACCAGGUACCAUGUGAAGCUCAAGGAAUGGUUGUAGAUCAUUAUGGAGAAACUGAAGAAAAAAAAGAUCCUUAUGGAGUACAUUAUAAACGACAUUUGGUGUCGGCGGCAUGUCACUACCUCUGACAAAGUUCUCUGAAACACGAUUACUAUCAUGUACAAUGCUUUUACAACCGAUUAAAUUUAUUUGGUACAUAGAGCUAUUGGUCCUUUAUGAUUAUUUUAUUUCUUCAGUACAAAUGCUUUUAGCUCUUGAUAUUUUAUUACGGCUAUACACUUAUCCAUUGACACGCCACUUGUGGAAACUUUUUCCGUUGGAAUAAGAAGAACAACAAUGAUUUAGUUGUAAUAAAAUGCUGAAAAUGCAACCUGAUGUGCAUGAGUACCUUAAAGAUAUAUGCUAGACAACAGCAAUGAUUUAACUUGUUGUAAAAUGUUGUUUCUGCACUAAAUCUUCUUUACAAACUGUUUGCACAAGAGAGGUAGUCCUGCUGGAAUCAUGUAUGCCUCUCGUGAGUUUCACUAUUAAGUAUUCAAAGCAGCAAAGAUAACAGGAUGGAAUGUCAAGGUGAUCACCCGUAUUUCUGGAGAAAUAGUAAGUGGGCUAACUGAGGUGAAACUCAACAAUGUAUCUCUACUAUUAAAGGGCCAUAAAAAUACAGAACUUGUGAAGCAUCCCUUCAAGCUACCAUCUUUACUGGAAGCUUGGUUCCCUUGAUUUGCUUGUUUACAAAUAUUUAACCUGGUGUUUUAUUUGUAUGUUGUCAUCCUGUGGUCAUUAACAAUCAUGCAGAUGGAACUGCUCUUAUUUAGAACAACCUGGCUUAUCCUCGGUCGAGUGAGUCAUAACAGAAUUGAAAAGAAAUGCUGGCAGAGAUAUUAAAAUUCAAACCUGGCUUAUUUUUCUCAAUAUGGGUUCAGAAGGAAAUUGUCGUUGAGCUUCUAUCUAAAGAUUUCAGCAGCCUCGAUGGAUGAUGGCAGGAACCUCAUGGGCCACACAUCCCCUUCCUUAAUUGCAUGCCCUCACAAAAUGGAUGGGGACUGGGUUCUUUGGUUGUCGCCGCCGGACUCAGCGAAGGACGAAAAAUCGAGAUGAUCCAGUGGAGAAUAGAUGCCACGGGCUGAAGAAAGGAGGCGACGGUUUCAGAGCACACACCUUGAAGCGGAGAGGCGGCAGGGGAGUGGGUCUGGAUGGCAGAGGGAGCGAGACGAGGCAACAUCAGAUGGGAGGCAUGGUCAAAAGAGGCGCCGUAGGAGCAAUCGUGCGUGUGUGGGGGCCAUACCAGGGAGAAGGAAAUGGGUGGUCGGUUUUCCAGGGCUUUUUUUCCUUGCAUCGGGAAAUGGGUUCGGUUGAAAAAACGAUGAGGUGGGGAGGUCACGCGAAGGGUGGAGACGUGGGUACCAUAUAACGUACCAACUGUGCUUUAAUAGUAGAGAUUAAGAUGUUGAUAUUUUAUUCAUUUUCUACUUAGCUGAAGAUUCUUUGAAGAAAAAAAACUAUGAAACUUGUAAUGUAUCAUGGUCGCAAUUUGUGAAGUAGAACUAACUAUCGUUUGACCAAAUACCCUUUGAUCAUUCAUCAAUUUUUA